AAAAAGUAUGAUUUUUCAAGGAAUCAAGUGUUUAAAGGUGGUGAGCUAUCUGAUACGGGUAAAAGACUACACCCGAGGACCGAGAAUAGGAGUAUAUCUACUCCUAGUACAGCUCAGAAUAGGCAGUAGACUGUCAAUUGCAUCGAGAAGUAA
rnacentral:sRNA from 1 species